GAAGCUGUAUUCUCAUGCUGAUCCCAUUCCUAUAUGCGGGGUCUUCUUCAGACUGGUUGCUGGAAUUCAAGAUCUGCAAAAACAUCUGAAGUGAUCCUUAAGCAAAAGCCAUUGCGCCCGGUGAAACAAUGGGGUGUAAAAGUGCUACCUGACUUUUAGCAGCAAGGAAGGGGGCCCUAGUGCAGCCUGAUUCAUGGUUCAUUGUAACUGUAUUUCUGUCUGGAAUCUAGCAUGCAAUCCUUGUCAACUCUGUAGGAGGGAUUUUGAAAGGGUCAUUGCAGAUAUUAGAAUUCUCAAGAUGAGAUCAUCCUGGAAAACAUGGUAGUCCUAAAUCCACAGACAACUCUCCUUAGGAGAGACACAUAGAGGAGACACAGUAGAGAAGGACCCGUGAAGACGGAAGCAGAGGUUGGAAGGCUGUGGUUGCCACCGAGGAACGCCUGGAGCCCUCACAAGCUGGAAGGGGCCAGGAGGGAUUCUUCCCUAGAUCCUCUGUGGGGAGCGUGGCCCUGCAGAUGCUUUGAUUUCAGACUUCUGGCCUGUAGAACUGUGAGAAAAUAGGUUUCUGUUGUUUUAAGUGACUCAGUUUGUGGUACUGUUAUAGCGGCCACAGGAAGGAAACAAAUCCGGGGGUCAGAUGGUUCUCAUUACACUGGGUCUGCUGUCAGCCAACCUUGCCUCUCAGGGCCUAGUGGUGUUCAGAAUGAAAUCUUUCACUUUCUUUUUUUUUUUUUUUUUUUUUU
rnacentral:lncRNA from 1 species